GAUGAAAAUUUGGAAAUUGACUGGUAAUGUACAGCUGGUGCUCAAAAAGUUGUGGGUCUAUUUAGCAUACAUUGUAUUAGAUUGUAGAAAAAGCCAAUCUCAGUGCUUGGACAUCAACAACUCAUAGUACAUCAGCUACAUUACAACUAUUUUGCUCUUAAAUGUAUAACUUAUUCUGGCUUUCAUUUGUGAAAUGAUGGAACAUUUGCUUGAAGAUUAAGACUAACUUAGAACAAUUUAUAAUGACUUUAUUUAUCUAAAAUGCAAAAUGAGAUAUGUUUAAUAAAAUGUUUUAAAUGAGAAUUUAAGUAAAAGUAUUUAGACACUUAAGUCCCAGUUAACUUAUAAAAUAUAAUGCAUGAAUGAUUACAUAAAAUAUCCAACAAGUUAGAACUUAUGUUUAAGUGUAUAAACAUCAUAAGCCUAAAAUUUUACUAAUAAAAAAACAGGUUUUGAUGUAAAAGACAAAACAUGAAAUAAACUGUUAACUUAUAACUUAUCUGGAAACGAACUUGAACCUAACUAAGACUUCAAAACAAGUAGCCUAUAGUCUUAAGGAAAUGUUUGGUAAAUUAUUAAAAUAACUGAAAAAUGGCUCAGGAAAAAGGAUUAUUUUGAGAGGAGCUUUAGCAUAAUGUGUUUGCAGAUGCAGCUAGUUUCGUAUUUUGUUAUCCAUGACGUUUCAGUGUGAAAUACACACAUCUAGGGCCACUGUAAAUAAGCAAUGCAUUUUUUCAUUAGCGUAUUAUUUCUAUUAUAUCACAUAAUUCGUUCGCAUUCGACCUCUUACAAUGUCCUCAAUGAACUCUGACUGAAUCAGAGUUACAGUUAAAAUUAACCCGCAUUGCCCAAGAGCGCGCUCACACACCGAAUCCGCAACAUUUCAGCUCGCGCCAGGACGCCGCGUGUCAGACCAGCGUCGGACUUCCGCAAAGCGAGGAGCUACAAUAAACAAACUGUACUGAAACCCCAAACUGAAGCUCAGAAUCAGAAAAUGCCACAUAAAAAGCAGAGUUUGCUGAAAGAAGCGUCUCAUCAGAUCAUAGCGGGCGGAUCUGCAGAAUGUUUAGAGAACCAGGCGACUGCAGGCUUUCUUAAGGUAGUCAGAGCACAGGUCUGCAGCAGCGAGACGGCCUCUUCAGCUGGGUUAACUGACUCAAGAUGAGCGGUGCGUGGGCAAGAGCUGAAAUCAUAAUGUGAUUUGUUGUGGUUGGGAGCCAAUUUGAGUCUUUUUGGGAAGGUUCCCUGCCCGGUCGCCCGCUUGUGCGCUUUGUGAGGAGACCUUAAUUAGAGAAGCUCAAAUUUAUAGACACAUUUGAUUAUAGCUGAUCUUGAGUUGUAAAAGGAUGACAUUGCCUAGGAGGGGGACAUUGGCAAGAGCAGCUGCACAAUUUGAUAAUGAGAACCAAAGCUUCGGAGAAAGGCUUGUUUUGAAUUUGUUUACACGUUUAUUAUCCUUUCAAAAGGAGCGCUUCAUCCAAUAAAAUCAAGACUACAGACACAGAUGUACACGUUGUGGUUGGGAGCCAAUUUGAGUCUUUUUGGGAAGGUUCCCUGCCCGGUCGCCCGCUUGUGCGCUUUGUGAGGAGACCUUAAUUAGAGAAGCUCAAAUUUAUAGACACAUUUGAUUAUAGCUGAUCUUGAGUUGUAAAAGGAUGACAUUGCCUAGGAGGGGGACAUUGGCAAGAGCAGCUGCACAAUUUGAUAAUGAGAACCAAAGCUUCGGAGAAAGGCUUGUUUUGAAUUUGUUUACACGUUUAUUAUCCUUUCAAAAGGAGCGCUUCAUCCAAUAAAAUCAAGACAGACACAGAUGUC
rnacentral:lncRNA from 1 species